rnacentral:rRNA from 1 species
UGCAAAUUUUCAAAUCGGAGGAAAAGAAACCAACCGGGAUUGCCUUAGUAACGGCGAGUGAAGCGGCAAAAGCUCAAAUUUGAAAUCUGGUACCUUCGGUGCCCGAGUUGUAAUUUGGAGAGGGCAACUUUGGGGCCGUUCCUUGUCUAUGUUCCUUGGAACAGGACGUCAUAGAGGGUGAGAAUCCCGUGUGGCGAGGAGUGCGGUUCUUUGUAAAGUGCCUUCGAAGAGUCGAGUUGUUUGGGAAUGCAGCUCUAAGUGGGUGGUAAAUUCCAUCUAAAGCUAAAUAUUGGCGAGAGACCGAUAGCGAACAAGUACAGUGAUGGAAAGAUGAAAAGAACUUUGAAAAGAGAGUGAAAAAGUACGUGAAAUUGUUGAAAGGGAAGGGCAUUUGAUCAGACAUGGUGUUUUGUGCCCUCUGCUCCUUGUGGGUAGGGGAAUCUCGCAUUUCACUGGGCCAGCAUCAGUUUUGGUGGCAGGAUAAAUCCAUAGGAAUGUAGCUUGCCUCGGUAAGUAUUAUAGCCUGUGGGAAUACUGCCAGCUGGGACUGAGGACUGCGACGUAAGUCAAGGAUGCUGGCAUAAUGGUUAUAUGCCGCCCGUCUUAAACACACGGGACC